rnacentral:rRNA from 1 species
ACGGCGAGUGAAGCGGUAACAGCUCAAAUUUGAAAUCUGGCCUCACGGUCCGAGUUGUAAUUUGUAGAGGAUGCUUCGAGCAUGGUCUGGCCUAAGUUCCUUGGAACAGGACGUCAUAGAGGGUGAGAAUCCCGUAUGCGGCCAGGUGCCUACGCUCAUGUGAAGCUCCUUCGACGAGUCGAGUUGUUUGGGAAUGCAGCUCAAAAUGGGUGGUAAAUUUCAUCUAAAGCUAAAUAUUGGCCAGAGACCGAUAGCGCACAAGUAGAGUGAUCGAAAGAUGAAAAGCACUUUGGAAAGAGAGUUAAACAGUACGUGAAAUUGUUGAAAGGGAAGCGCUUGCAACCAGACUUGCGCGCGGCCGAUCAUCCGGUGUUCUCACCGGUGCACUCGGCCGUGCUCAGGCCAGCAUCGGUUUUGGCGGCUGGAUAAAGGCCCUAGGAAUGUGGCUCCUCUCGGGGAGUGUUAUAGCCUAGGGUGCAAUGCAGCCUGCUGGGACCGAGGACCGCGCUUCGGCUAGGAUGCUGGCGUAAUGGUUGUAAGCGGCCCGUCUUGAAACACGGACCAAGGAGUCUAACAUCUAUGCGAGUGUUUGGGUGUCAAACCCAUACGCGUAAUGAAAGUGAACGGAGGUGAGAACCCUUAAGGGUGCAUCAUCGACCGAUCCUGAUGUCUUCGGAAGGAUUUGAGUAAGAGCAUAGCUGUUGGGACCCGAAAGAUGGUGAACUA